rnacentral:lncRNA from 1 species
AUAGAGACAAUGUUUCACCAUGUUGGCCAGGCUGGUCUCGAACUCCUGACCUCAAGUGACCCGCCCGCCUUGUCCUCGAAUAGUGCUGGGAUUACAGGUGCGACCCACCACACCCGGCUGCAAUGUUUGUUUUAAUUACUUUUGGCAAGUAUUUCCUGAGUACCCCGAGCGUGCCAGGUGAAGAGAGACGGAUAAUAACAGCGCUAGCCAGCACGUAUUAAGCCUUGCAAAGCUGCACGGGCAUGAACUUGUGGCUUCAACACAACCUUAUGAGACAGGUUUUCACAAUGUCACCGAGGCUGGAGUGCAAUGGUGUGAUCUUGGCUCACUGCAGCCUCAACCUCCCAGGCUCAAGUGAUUCUCCCACCUCAGCCUCUCAAGUAGCUAGGACUAUAGAUGUGUACCACACUCGGCUAAUUUUUGUAUUUUUUUGUAGAGAUGGGGUUUUGCCAUGUUGCCCAGGCUGGUCUCAAACUCCUGGGCUCCAGCAAUCCUCCGCCUUAGCCUCCCAAAUUGCUGGGAUUACAGGCCUGAGCCACUGGCGCCUGGCCAUGACUCCUUUCUUGAAAGACUCUCACUGUCUCUUCUCUUGCCAUCUCUCUGCUCUUCCUUUUUCUGUCCUCCUUUGUCCUCCUCCUCUUUCUCCUUCUCUGUCUCUGCCUCUCUCUGUGUGUCUCUCUCUUCGUGUCUCUCUCUUCCGCACAUCAUGCAUUCUUACCAACCAUGACUAAACACUUAUGCGAUAGAAGAAUAUGUUUUCAGUAAUUCACUGUGGGUCUUGGCUUGUAGAAAUCCCACAAGCCAGGCUCUGUGCCUUCGCUACACUUUUGGUGAGAACUUCUGUGGACAGAGGCACAAAAGCCUCAAGCUGUGAGAUUCAAAAUCUGGUGGUUAAGCCAGCCCCUCAGCGCUCCCAGCCUGCGCCCCUCGUUGGAAACAAUGAGUUGGAAAGUGUCUUGAUGACUUUCAGCAGACAGACCUGCAAAGAAGAGAAGCUGAUCUGGACUCUGGCCUUCCUUCACAACACACUGACAAGCCCACCACAGCUGCCAAACAUGAGGUGAUGGGACAGCCCUCGUGGCCUCCACCCACCGCCCUGGUGGAGAAGUGAAACAUGAACCCACCAGUGCAAGACAGAGGAAGAGGCACCAGCGAAGGCAAGAAAACUGAAGCUGGACGCUGGCCUCCAGUCCUGUCUUUGCCAUUAGCAGCCCUGGGAUCUUAGUGCCUUCACCAGCCGAGCUUCAGUUUUUCCACCUGUAAAAUGGAGGGUUGAGGCCACAUCUUCCUUUUAGUCCUUCCUCUUCCCUUCCCUCCAGAGCAAGUGGUGUGGAAUUCUAAGGCAAAAGUCACCCUGAUUGAAUGGUGUAGAUUAGUCAAGAACCCAGCACUGAGGUCAGCCUCUGGAAGCAAUUUAAGAUGACCCAAGGAUUUGAGAUUCCAACCUCCUGCAUGCAAGCAGAAGUGCUUCCUCCUACAUAGGGCUGCCCUCCUUCCUGAGCAACUGGGCUGAUUUGUGGAAGAAACAGCUGUGCUUUCUGGUGAGCUCCAAUGCCAAACAUGUAGGCCUUGGAUCAGGCAGGAUGUUCCAUCAGCAGUCAUUGUUCACACCUGUGCUGUAUGGGCCAGGCAUCGAGCCAAUAGUAACACCUCCUUUCACCCCACAACAACCCUGUACCAAGCACACACCCAUUUUAUACCUGAGGAAGCUGAGGCUUGGAGAGGCACCGCGCCCAGGGUCAUGUAACCACAGGUGACAAAAUGAAGAUGCAAAUGCAACCUGAGUGAUUCCUUUUGAUGGAGCCACACCAUUUAAAUCAAUGCUGGGUGAUUGGAUUAUAUGUAAUUUUUUUAAAUUAAAAACAUUUUUUUGCCAGACACAGUUGCUCAUGCCUGUAAUCCCAGCACUUUGGGAGGCCGAGGCGAAGUGGAUCACUUGAGGUCAAGAGUCCGAGACCAGCCUGGCCAAUACAGUAAAACCCCGUCUCUACUGAAAAUACAAAAAAUUACCUGGGUAUGGUGGUGGGCAACUGUAAUCCCAGCGACUUGGGAGGCUGAGGCAGGAGAAUCACUUUAACCUGGGAGGCAGAGGUUGCAGUGAGCUGAGAUCGCACCACUGCACUCCAGCCUGGGCAACAGAGUGAGAUUCUGUCUCAAAAAAACCCAAAAAACAAAACAAACAAAAACAUUUGUUUCCCUAUAAUGAAUAGGAUUGCUUGUGUUUUAAAAGGGAGUAACCCAAUCACAGCACUUGCAGAUAACAUUAUAUGUUGCCUGGAAUCUGAUUUAAACUAUUCCACGGGGUGGGGGGUGGUGCAGAAAUAAAGCCAAAUUAUCCGUGAAUUCAUAACCCUUGAGGCUGAGUAUUGGAUAUGACGUUCAUCAUCCUAUUCUCCUGUAGUGAACGUGUUUGAGAAGUUCCACGAUAUUAAAAAAAUUUAAAUUUAAAAUUUAAUAAGUCUAAAUUCAAGAUAAAUGAACUAGCCUGGGAAUGCCCUGUCAUGAGGGUGGCAGUCCUUCGCCCCACCCCACAGCUGAAAGCAUUUUAAGGUCGGCUUCGAGAAGGUAUUCAUUAAGGCCUCCUGGUUCUGCUCUCCCUGGACCACAGUGGCUCUCUUUGCGUCCAAGAGAACAAUCUUCCCCCAGAUUGCUGGCCAAGUCGCGACUGCGUGUUAGGGAUCCCACAGCCAAGUUGUGGUUUUAUGACAGAGUUUGGAACCAUAUGUGGUUCACGUUCACUCAGUCCGGA